rnacentral:rRNA from 1 species
UACGAAGGGUGCUAGCGUUGCUCGGAAUCACUGGGCGUAAAGCGCACGUAGGCGGUUUGCUAAGUCAGGGGUGAAAUCCUGGAGCUCAACUCCAGAACUGCCUUUGAUACUGGCGAUCUUGAGUCCGGGAGAGGUGAGUGGAACUGCGAGUGUAGAGGUGAAAUUCGUAGAUAUUCGCAAGAACACCAGUGGCGAAGGCGGCUCACUGGCCCGGUACUGACGCUGAGGUGCGAAAGCGUGGGGAGCAAACAGG